GACAGUAAAGUUGGUAGGCAGUUGGUAGUUGGUAGUUGAACAUUCGAAUAACCAACUACUUACUAGUUGCCAGUUGGUUAUUCAAAAUGUAUAAGCAAGUCUGAUUACCUUUUAAAACAUAAUGAUAAAAAAAUCAUUUUAAUCCAUGUUUUCAGUCUCAAAAAGUACCUUGAGAGCCAGUUGCCAAUUCGCGAUAUGUUUCAGAAAAGCUUUUUUUUUCAGUCACAAAUGGAUAAAAUUAUUCCAUAUGACAUUUUAUAUCGUUUUUCAUAUCAAUAUCUGACACUUUCAACAUAAAGACCAGUCUUGGAAACACUAAGGAGAGCCAGUUGCCAAUUCGCGUGCGAAUAACCAACUGCCUACUGGUAGGCAGUUGGUUAUUCGACAUUUUACAUACAGUCAGUGUUUUGGUAGAACAUGAUAAAAAAUUUAUUCUAACCCUUGUUUUGUUGUUGUUUUAUGUUAGUAUUUAUUCUUUUAAAUGCAUUCAACAGUCUCAAAAUGUACCAGGAGAGCCAGUUGCCAAUAUGAAUAAAAUAAUUCAAUUUUA